GAUGAACGCUGGCGGCGUGCCUAAUACAUGCAAGGCGAGCGAACAGACGAGGAGCUUGCUCCUCUGACGUUAGCGGCGGACGGGUGAGUAACACGUGGAUAACCUACCUAUAAGACUGGGAUAACUUCGGGAAACCUGAGCUAAUACCGGAUAAUAUAUUGAACCGCAUGGUUCAAUAGUUAAAUACGGUUUUGCUGUCACUUAUAGAUGGAUCCGCGCCGCAUUAUCUAGUUGGUAAGGUAACGGCUUACCAAGGCAACGAUGCGUAUCCGACCUGAGAGGGUGAUCGGCCACACGGGAACUGAGACACGGUCAAGACGCCUACGGGAGGCAGCAGUAGGGAAUCUGCCGCAAUGGGCGAAAGCUUGACGGAGCAACGCCGCGUGAGUGAUGAAGGGCUUCGGAUCGUAAAACUCUGUUAUUAGGGAAGAAAAAAUGUGUAAGUAACUAUGCACGUAUUGACGGUAACUAAUCAGAAAGCAACGGCUAACUACGUG
rnacentral:rRNA from 1 species